AGGGUUUGAUCCUGGCUCAGGAUGAACGCUGGCGGCGUGCUUAACACAUGCAAGUCGAACGAACCUUCGGGUUAGUGGCGGACGGGUGAGUAACGCGUGGGAAUCUGCCCUCAGGAGGGGGAUAACGGUUGGAAACGGCCGCUAAUACCCCAUAUGCCGAGAGGUGAAAUGAAUUUCGCCUGAGGAUGAGCCCGCGCCUGAUUAGCUAGUUGGUGAGGUAAUGGCUCACCAAGGCAUCGAUCAGUAGCUGGUCUGAGAGGAUGAUCAGCCACACUGGGACUGAGACACGGCCCAGACUCCUACGGGAGGCAGCAGUGGGGAAUUUUCCGCAAUGGGCGCAAGCCUGACGGAGCAACGCCGCGUGAGGGAUGAAGGCCUCUGGGCUGUAAACCUCUUUUCUCAAGGAAGAAGAUCUGACGGUACUUGAGGAAUAAGCCACGGCUAAUUCCGUGCCAGCAGCCGCGGUAAUACGGGAGUGGCAAGCGUUAUCCGGAAUUAUUGGGCGUAAAGCGUCCGCAGGCGGCUUUUCGAGUCUGCUGUUAAAACGUGGAGCUUAACUCCAUCAAGGCAGUGGAAACUGAUUGGCUUGAGUGUGGUAGGGGCAGAGGGAAUUCCCGGUGUAGCGGUGAAAUGCGUAGAUAUCGGGAAGAACACCAGUGGCGAAGGCGCUCUGCUGGGCCAUAACUGACGCUCAUGGACGAAAGCCAGGGGAGCGAAAGGGAUUAGAUACCCCUGUAGUCCUGGCCGUAAACGAUGAACACUAGGUGUCGGGGGAAUCGACCCCCUCGGUGUCGUAGCCAACGCGUUAAGUGUUCCGCCUGGGGAGUACGCACGCAAGUGUGAAACUCAAAGGAAUUGACGGGGGCCCGCACAAGCGGUGGAGUAUGUGGUUUAAUUCGAUGCAACGCGAAGAACCUUACCAGGGUUUGACAUCCUGCGAAUCUCUUGGAAACGAGAGAGUGCCUUUGGGAACGCAGUGACAGGUGGUGCAUGGCUGUCGUCAGCUCGUGUCGUGAGAUGUUGGGUUAAGUCCCGCAACGAGCGCAACCCACGUUUUUAGUUGCCAGCAUUCAGUUGGGCACUCUAGAGAGACCGCCGGUGAUAAACCGGAGGAAGGUGUGGAUGACGUCAAGUCAUCAUGCCCCUUACAUCCUGGGCUACACACGUACUACAAUGCUACGGACAAAGGGCAGCGAACUCGCGAGGGCAAGCAAAUCCCAUAAACCGUGGCUCAGUUCAGAUCGUAGGCUGCAACUCGCCUACGUGAAGAAGGAAUCGCUAGUAAUCGCAGGUCAGCAUACUGCGGUGAAUACGUUCCCGGGCCUUGUACACACCGCCCGUCACACCAUGGAAGUUGGCCACGCCCGAAGUCGUUACUCCAACCCUUGUGGAGGAGGACGCCGAAGGUGGGGCUGAUGACUGGGGUGAAGUCGUAACAAGGUAGCC
rnacentral:rRNA from 1 species